UACGUAGGGUGCAAGCGUUGUCCGGAAUUAUUGGGCGUAAAGAGCUCGUUGGCGGUCUGUCGCGUCGGAUGUGAAAAUCCAGGGCUCAACCCUGGACCUGCAUUCGAUACGGGCAGACUAGAGUUCGGUAGGGGAGACUGGAAUUCCUGGUGUAGCGGUGAAAUGCGCAGAUAUCAGGAGGAACACCGGUGGCGAAGGCGGGUCUCUGGGCCGAAACUGACGCUGAGGAGCGAAAGCGUGGGGAGCAAACAGG
rnacentral:rRNA from 1 species